AAAUCUUGUCACAGGUGAGAUAUCUAUGGUAACUCUUUAGGCAUUACUUCGAACGAGACACAAGAUCGAACAUAAAAUGACAGCCCUUCUACGAGUGAUUAGCCUUGUCGUGAUUAGCGUGGUGGUGAUUAUUAUGCCACCGUGCGGGGCUGCACAUCGGCGAAGAAUGGCUUAAAAAUCAAGCCUGAAUCUCGAAAAACCCCCGCACCGAAAGGUCCGGGGGUUUUUUAUUAACUGACGCAAUGACAAUGAGGAACAGAGAAUGCACGACAGCAUAAAAUCCUGUUUCUGUAAUAGUGA
rfam:Mangrovibacter sp. MFB070 Contig-051, whole genome shotgun sequence.